CACACGUAUACAUAUAUACACACAUCUACACUGUAUUGAUAUGUUGAUAUAUUGAUGUUAUGAAUUAUUUUAAAGAGUAUUCUAUUGAUGUAGAGGAUAAUAUGAAAUUCAAUAUUUUCUGGCACUCUUUUUAAAUGAUACUUAGGCCAUCUGAUGAAAACAGAGCUCAGUAAAGAUUUCUUAUUGAUAAAUCAACAUUACAAAUGAAGACUAGUUUCAUUGCCAUGAUCAGUAAAUUAAGGGUCAUAAAUUAACUGUUGAGUUAUUUUCUUUGCACUAUUAAGCCUUCCACUCAAUCUUUCUACAGUCUUUCUUAUUUAGCAAACGGUGUUACUUGAUAGAAACCUCUGCUGUGAUUUUGUUUUUUGAAAUUUAAUAAGAAAGCUAUAUAAUACAAUUCUCGGGGGAAAACAAGCAAGGUAGGUUUUUCACGGUAACCUCCAAGCAGAGAAAUGGUUUCAGUGCGCAGUCCAGUGAAUUUCCUCCAUAGAGUGUGCUGGAAGAAGUCACCUGGAAGUGAUCACCAGAGUGAUAUUCAGUUUGACUCUCAUUGGGUUUCACAGAGCCAAGCAGAAAAGGAGCACAGGUGACCUUGGCAGGAAGGCAUGCAUGGGAGAGCAGGUCUGCACUCUGGGACACCAGCCUCAACAGAAUACGAGUUUUGAAUUUUUGAAUUGCUGUUAAAACUUUCAUCAUGAACACUGAAGUGAGUGAAAAGAGACUUUUGCAGUCAUUUUUUUGCUGGCUGCAGAUGACAGUGACACCCUGGGAGUUGAGAAAUGCUUGUAAGAUGGAAGGAGGCUGUGUCCCUGAAUGAUCACCUGGAAGAGAGCCACCUUAGCCAAUGAAACUCCUGCUAUGAAUGUUUGCUGAGCAAGAAAUAUACUUACUGCUUUAUAUGCCUUUGAAGCUAUAGGUUCAUAUUGUUACCACAAUUUAAAGUGCUAUAAUAAAAAGAGUUCAGGAAGCAGGCACAUGGAAGCAAUAAGAGCAACAAACAUUUACACAGUUCUCAGGUCCCUGGACCAUGAAGGGCCACAUCCAAGGAGCUACCCCAGGAGGCCUCUCAUUUGCAUUUGUCCCCGCUAAUGCAGGACAGAGAUCAUGGAAGUUGGGCCCGACUGGAUGAGAUUUGGGGGUCUUUGGAAGUGGAGAAUGUGUUUGCCCUGGGGAAGAGAGGUGAUGUCUAGGAGACCUCUUCACUCAGGGCAAGCUCUAUGACCUGCUUUGACUCCAGAAUGUGGUAGAAGUGGCAUCACAUAAAUUGCAGAGCCUAGGCUUCAAGAGACCUUGCAACUUGCCUCUCACUGACUUGAAGUGCUCCCAUCAGAGCAUCUUGUAAGGAGCAGGUGGAGCAUGUGGACAAGCCAUCCCCACCAGCCCCUGAGACAUGUGAGAGAGGCCAGAACAGGCCAUCCGGACCCCACUGUGCUGGUGGAUGAGACAGCAGAAGGAAUAUCAACCUACCAACAGAAUCCUGAGAAAUGCUCACUCUUACUUCAAGCUGCUGCAUUUUGAUGUUAUGAAACCAUAAAUAACUUAUGAAGUCAUCUUUGCUGACUUAAAGUUUUCCAUAACUUUAUUAUAACAUAUCAAAAUUAUGAAAAAUGUGAAAAGUAGAAAACUGAUGAAUUUUGCUUCUUCAUAUGGUCUUUAAGAAUCUCAAAGGCACUGAAGUUUUUUAUCUUUUCUGUCUUAGAAUAAAAAACCUUGAAUGAAAAUCUGCUUCUUGGAAAAGCAGCAAGGUUUAUGCAGAGGCAAUCUGGUAUUUGUGUGCACUGGCAGCUGAUCAUACCCAGCAUGCACGCACUCUCAGGGCAGAGUCUGAUGCCCCACAUAAUGGGGCAUGGUAAGGACUCCCAUGUCCUUGAGAUAAAAUGAUAAGGAAAAUACACACUGCUAUUAGAAUAACAGGCCCAGCUUCUGCACAUUUUAAUUCCCAAAGUUUUCAUGAAAGACAAUGAUUUUUUGGUACCAUGUUUAACUCUACAAGAAUCAGUAGUGAAAACUAAAAAUGAUACUUUGUGAAAGUUCAUUAAUUUUGUUUUCAGCCAGUGGUGGCCUUGGUCAGAUAGAAUCAAAUCUAUGAUACUUUUUAUCAGAAAUGCUUAUACUGUGUACAAACCCAAAGUGAUGGCUUUCAAAGAUUGAAUUUGAUUAUUUUCUGUAUGGUGCAGAUGAAAAAUUACUACACAGGAGAAGGUGGGUUGGAGGUGCUCACGAGUAACCAGGAAACAGUCUGAAGUUUUUCUGAUACUUCUCCUUGGUCCAACCAAAUGUGAGAUAUAAACACAAACUUGGGAUUCCGUUCUUAUGUUUUGGUUGUUUCAGUCUUUACAGAUGUAUCGAAAGGCUGUCCAAAAAUGUCUGACUUCUGUAGUGUGCCUUCGUAGCACUAGAGGGUUCUGCAGCUGUGAAACUGAAGGCAUUGGCAAGAAGCCCUCCAUCUUCAAACCACUUUCUGCUAAGGUGUGGCUCUAUAAAACCACUAUGAGCUGGGCUUCACUGAGACUGAGUUGUUUCAGUAGGAUCUUCCGGAAAAACAUGUUCCCUCCUUUACCUGGGUUGUCAUUCUGAGAACAAUCACACCUCCAAUUUUGGCUUACUAAGCAAUAGCGUUUUAAUGAUUUUAAGCCAGGAUUUGCUCCUCCUUUCCUCAGUAUGAGAGCUUAACCACUGGAGGAACCAAGAAUUCAUGCUGGUUGGGUUCUGAUUCCACUUUAACUUACUGUAUAGCCUCAUCCCUUGUUUUUCUGGAGAUUCUCUUUUUCUGCUUCACUGAUUUAUAUUUACAUUAAAAUCAAAUGAGGCCAUGUUUCUGAAAUCACAUUGUCCCUACAUGGUCAUUACAAUGAGUCUGUAAUGUGACUGAAAGACAGCCAUGGAUACAGGUAGAGGAUAUCAGGCAAUUGAAUGCUCAUCAAGCAUUCAAUUCAGGGCAAAUGGCAUAAGGUAUGCAGUUGGCCUCUUCUGAUAUCUGUGUCUUAAUCCUUUCUUUAGCCUCUGUUUUCUGGACCAAGGCUAAGAUAUUUUCUGGGCACAGUGGCUCAUGCCUAUAAUCCCAGCACUCUGGGAGGCCAAGGUGGGAGGAUUUCUUCAGCCC
rnacentral:lncRNA from 1 species